rnacentral:rRNA from 1 species
AUUGAACGCUGGCGGCCGGCUUAACCCAUGCAAGUCGAACGAGCGGCGGACGGGUGAGUAAUGUCUGGGAAACUGCCUGAUGGAGGGGGAUAACUACUGGAAACGGUAGCUAAUACCGCAUACCAUCAGAUGUGCCCAGCUGGGAUUAGCUAGUAGGUGGGGUAAUGGCUCACCUAGGCGACGAUCCCUAGCUGGUCUGAGAGGAUGACCAGCCACACUGGAACUGCGACACGGUCCAGACUCCUACGGGAGGCAGCAGUGGGGAAUAUUGCAAAAUGGGAGCAAGCCUGAUGCAGCCAUGCCGCGUGUGUGAAGAAGGCCUUCGGGUUGUAAAGUACUUUCAGCGAGGAGGCGUUACUCGCAGAAGAAGCACCGGCUAACUCCGUGCCAGCAGCCGCGGUAAUAC